GACAGAGGCCUCGAGCGUUAGGCGGAAUCACUGGGCUUAAAGCGUGUGUAGGCGGGCCCGUAAGUGUCUUGUGAAAUCCCACGGCUCAACCGUGGAACUGCUGGGCAUACUGCGGGUCUGGGCCAACUAGGGGCAGCCGGAACAAGCGGUGGAGCGGUGAAAUGCGUAGAUAUCGCUUGGAACGCCGAAGGUGAAAACAGGCUGCUGGGGGUU
rnacentral:rRNA from 1 species